rnacentral:tRNA from 1 species
GGGGGUGUAGUUCAGUGGUAGAGCAUUCGACUGCAGAUCGAGAGGUCCUUGGUUCAAUCGCGGGCGCCCCCU